rnacentral:rRNA from 1 species
UUGACCUCGGAUCAGGUAGGGAUACCCGCUGAACUUAAGCAUAUCAAUAAGCGGAGGAACACUAGUGAUUCCGGCCGCUGCGGUCGACAUAUGG